rnacentral:misc_RNA from 1 species
GAAAUGCGAUAAGUAAUGUGAAUUGCAGAAUUCAGUGAAUCAUCGAAUCUUUGAACGCAUAUUGCGCUCGCCAGUAUUCUGGCGAGCAUGCCUGUUCGAGCGUCAUUUCAACCAUCAAGCUCUGCUUGCGUUGGGGAUCCGCGGCUGCCCGCGGUCCCUCAAAAACAGUGGCGGGCUCGCUAGUCACACCGAGCGUAGUAACUCUACAUCGCUAUGGUCGUGCGGCGGGUUCUUGCCGUAAAACCCCCAAUUUCUAAGGUUGACCUCGGAUCAGGUAGGAAUACCCGCUGAACUUAAGC